rnacentral:lncRNA from 1 species
CGCCCUCUGUCGGAAUUGCAUUUUGCGAAUAGUUUUUGAAAUUAUAGCAACAUUGGUUGAAAUGUGACAUAUGACUGUAAUAACUCUAUGAUGACUGUGCGAAAUUAAAAAUCAAGAUGGACGAUUCAUGGAUUGAUUCCGUUUUCCAUAUCCGUUGAAGUUGAACUAAACUUUUUGUUAUUAAUGAGGUCGAUAGAAAAAUACUAGAAAGUAGGUACAAAUAAUUUGCGGAACAGUGAAAGUUCCAGUUUUGCUUCUGCCAGUCUGCCACUGUUGUUCUGAUGCCGGCUGAUUGAUGGUGCCAUUCAUUGCUAUGAAGCCUUUGUGUGAAGUGUAACCCCAUAAUUGGGCGUGAGUGCCGCUGAAUUAAGAUUUUAUGAAUGUUAAGAGCAGAAGCAGUACCGUCACAAUCUCUGGAUACACAAAUGGAUUUUUGGUUAUUAAGGAGAGCAUACAAACACAUCAAGAUGUUUGAUUUUCAGCUUGCCACAAAAGCUUUUCUUCCCACAAAGCAAUUUUAAGUUUGAUAUUUUUUAUCGGAUUGACACUGACGAAUAUACAAUAUAAGACAACAGGAUUAAAAAGCAGAAAUUAAUAAUCUCUUGUGCUUAGAAAAAAAAAAGAUUAUAAAUGUAGUUAUGUACUUCCUAAAGUAUUGUUAAUAUUAAAUGUUGUUUAUGUUGUU